ensembl:lncRNA
GGCCCUGCGCCGAGGGCUCCGCUCUGGGGAUCGCGCCCCUCUGACCCGGCUCGCAGGGCCUGACGUGAGCCGAGGCGGUGCGAAUCACACGGAGAUCAGAGGCCGCAGGACCCUGGCGCCCUGGGCCUCCCUCGGCCUGGCUGUCCAGCUGCUAGGAAUGGUAACAAGCCUUGAGUCGGGAAGAUCCAUGCUCGUCCUACGCAUCUCAGCACCAUUCAGACUGCUAGGUGGUUUACCAAACAUUGCCUGGGAGAAUCUUCCACCGUUUUAAGAAUAUCCAACUUCCCCAAACCAUUUAUUGAAGAGACUGUCCUUCCCCCAUUGAACGUUCCUGGUGUUGAAUCUUGUUCACCAUAAGCAUGAGACAAGGGUUCGAUCCCUGGGUUGAGAAGAUCCCCUGGAGAAGGAAAUGUCAACCCACUCCAGCAUCCUUGUCUGGAAAAUCCCAAGGACAGAGGAGCCUGGCAGGCUA